AGGAGCCGUAUGAGGUAAUUCUUCAAGUACGGAUCUGUGCGGGGGGCGGCUGGCAACAGCCGUCCCUACCGCGAU
rnacentral:autocatalytically_spliced_intron from 1 species